GGGGGUAACUGGAUUUGACAGCACGUAGAAACGGUAAGUAAGCAUGCAGAGCUUUGGUGUGUAAGCUCUAUAAUCACAAACGCAUCGACCUAUAAUUGGCGAAAAUAACAAUUACGCUCUCGCUGCCUAAACCGAAGUAUAGUAAGUUGGCUUUAUUCGCUUCAAAGUGAAGUGAACGAGACAUCAUCCCAUUGCCCCGUUCCGAGACGUUUGGAUAAGAUGGUGCAGAGUAAUUCGGAAAUUGAAUUUGAGGAGCCUUGACUCAAAUUUGAAAUUUAGAGGAUAAGGGAGAAAUUGGUCGUCACCAACCUGUUUCUUCUCGAAAAUCAAUUGGAUGACUAAGCAUGUAGAAAGCUUAUUGGGUCCGUGAUUGGACGAGGGUUCGAACCCCUCUACCUCCACUA
rnacentral:tmRNA from 1 species